CCGGCUGUAAUCCACCCUGCUACAGUGAUGCCCGCCUGCCUCCCGGCUUUUACGACCAAGAAUCGGAGCGCUGAUGUGAUGUUUCCCCGUCGACUGAUGAGGGAAGGAAGAGAAGGCAGCCACGACACGCGAUUGUUCAACAUGACAGUGAGACAGAAAAAUAAUGUCAAGAUAAAUAAAAAAUCAUGAUGAGUGAA